ensembl:lncRNA
GGCUCAUUUUCAAGAAAUAAUUGCAAUGUGUAUAAUUAUAAGAGGAGAUUCUAAUAUGUCACUUAGAAAUCAAUAGAUACAGAGACUCAACAAGGAAAGAAGACUUCAGGUGUGUUUGUUUUGGACAUGGCAGGAGAGAAGAGGCAAGCCUCAAAAUGGCCCAGUUAUAUUCAGGAUCCAAUCAAAAAGAAGAAGGAAGCAUUCCCAGACUGUGUGCUUUCCUACGGGUGAACCAGGGUCUGGUGAAUAUCAGCACUGGGACCAGUUAACAGAGGAAAAGGGAAGAAUAAAAGGGAAAAGAAUGAAGAGCCAUAUGAUUACCAACUUCCUUUUUCAUAUAAAUGAAGUAUGUAUGGGGUAUGGGUCUGGAACAAACUGAAUUUCCAUCAAGUCCUGGCUAACCACAUUAUGUCUUAUGAAUCCUU